UUUUUAUGAGAGUUUGAUCCUGGCUCAGGACGAACGCUGGCGGCGUGCCUAAUACAUGCAAGUCGUACGCUUCUUUUUCCACCGGAGCUUGCUCCACCGGAAAAAGAGGAGUGGCGAACGGGUGAGUAACACGUGGGUAACCUGCCCAUCAGAAGGGGAUAACACUUGGAAACAGGUGCUAAUACCGUAUAACAAUCGAAACCGCAUGGUUUUGAUUUGAAAGGCGCUUUCGGGUGUCGCUGAUGGAUGGACCCGCGGUGCAUUAGCUAGUUGGUGAGGUAACGGCUCACCAAGGCCACGAUGCAUAGCCGACCUGAGAGGGUGAUCGGCCACAUUGGGACUGAGACACGGCCCAAACUCCUACGGGAGGCAGCAGUAGGGAAUCUUCGGCAAUGGACGAAAGUCUGACCGAGCAACGCCGCGUGAGUGAAGAAGGUUUUCGGAUCGUAAAACUCUGUUGUUAGAGAAGAACAAGGAUGAGAGUAACUGUUCAUCCCUUGACGGUAUCUAACCAGAAAGCCACGGCUAACUACGUGCCAGCAGCCGCGGUAAUACGUAGGUGGCAAGCGUUGUCCGGAUUUAUUGGGCGUAAAGCGAGCGCAGGCGGUUUCUUAAGUCUGAUGUGAAAGCCCCCGGCUCAACCGGGGAGGGUCAUUGGAAACUGGGAGACUUGAGUGCAGAAGAGGAGAGUGGAAUUCCAUGUGUAGCGGUGAAAUGCGUAGAUAUAUGGAGGAACACCAGUGGCGAAGGCGGCUCUCUGGUCUGUAACUGACGCUGAGGCUCGAAAGCGUGGGGAGCAAACAGGAUUAGAUACCCUGGUAGUCCACGCCGUAAACGAUGAGUGCUAAGUGUUGGAGGGUUUCCGCCCUUCAGUGCUGCAGCUAACGCAUUAAGCACUCCGCCUGGGGAGUACGACCGCAAGGUUGAAACUCAAAGGAAUUGACGGGGGCCCGCACAAGCGGUGGAGCAUGUGGUUUAAUUCGAAGCAACGCGAAGAACCUUACCAGGUCUUGACAUCCUUUGACCACUCUAGAGAUAGAGCUUCCCCUUCGGGGGCAAAGUGACAGGUGGUGCAUGGUUGUCGUCAGCUCGUGUCGUGAGAUGUUGGGUUAAGUCCCGCAACGAGCGCAACCCUUAUUGUUAGUUGCCAUCAUUUAGUUGGGCACUCUAGCAAGACUGCCGGUGACAAACCGGAGGAAGGUGGGGAUGACGUCAAAUCAUCAUGCCCCUUAUGACCUGGGCUACACACGUGCUACAAUGGGAAGUACAACGAGUCGCGAAGUCGCGAGGCUAAGCUAAUCUCUUAAAGCUUCUCUCAGUUCGGAUUGCAGGCUGCAACUCGCCUGCAUGAAGCCGGAAUCGCUAGUAAUCGCGGAUCAGCACGCCGCGGUGAAUACGUUCCCGGGCCUUGUACACACCGCCCGUCACACCACGAGAGUUUGUAACACCCGAAGUCGGUGAGGUAACCUUUUUGGAGCCAGCCGCCUAAGGUGGGAUAGAUGAUUGGGGUGAAGUCGUAACAAGGUAGCCGUAUCGGAAGGUGCGGCUGGAUCACCUCCUUUCUAAGGAA
rnacentral:rRNA from 1 species